rnacentral:tRNA from 1 species
GUGGCAGGCUGUAUUCCUGCUAACAUGGGUUUAAAUCCUGUUUCUACC